GUGUCAGCAGCCGCGGUAAUACGAAGGGGACUAGCGUUGUUCGGAUUUACUGGGCGUAAAGCGCGCGUAGGCGGAUCACUAAGUCAGGGGUGAAAUCCCGAGGCUUAACCUCGGAACUGCCUUUGAUACUGGAGAUCUGGAGAUCGGGAGAGGUUGGUGGAAUUCCGAGUGUAGAGGUGAAAUUCGUAGAUAUUCGGAGGAACACCAGAAGCGAAGGCGGCCAACUGGCCCGAUACUGACGCUGAGGCGCGAAAGCGUGGGGAGCAAACAGGAUUAGAUACCCGUGUAGUCC
rnacentral:rRNA from 1 species